CUGACGGUAGUCGUAUGCUCGUCUCCGAGACUAAGCCAUGCAAGUCCAAGUACACGUCCUUGAACGACGGAAACUGCGAACGGCUCAUUAAAUCAGUUGUCGAUCUACUCGGCGUUCCGCGCCGCCGGAUAACCGUAGUAAUUCUAGGGCUAAUACGUGCGAAGCGCCCGAAGCCGCGAGGCGACGGGCGUUCUCGCCGGAUGUAGGAACCGACCCGGGGACCGCCGGGGCAACCCGGCGCCCCCGAGACGGGGCGAACCACGGUGAAAUGACGGAUCGUCGGCCCCGCGCCGGCGACUCGCCGAAUGAGUUUCUGACCUAUCAACUCGAGACGGCGGGGUAGAGGCCCGCCGCGGUAACGACGGGUAACGGGGAAUCAGGGUUCGAUUCCGGAGAGGGAGCCCGAGAACGGCUACCACUUCCAAGGAAGGCAGCAGGCGCGGCAACUUACCCUAAUCUCGAUUCGAGGAGGUAGUGACAGAAUACCGAUGCGGGA
rnacentral:rRNA from 1 species